rnacentral:rRNA from 1 species
CACGUAGGCACCAAGCGUUGUCCGGAUUUAUUGGGCGUAAAGGGCUCGUAGGCGGUCUGUUGCGUCAGGAGUGAAAACUCGGGGCUUAACCCCGAGCCUGCUUCUGAUACGGGCAGACUAGAGGUAUGCAGGGGAGAACGGAAUUCCUGGUGUAGCGGUGAAAUGCGCAGAUAUCAGGAGGAACACCGGUGGCGAAGGCGGUUCUCUGGGCCGAUAUUGACGCUGAGGAGCGAAAGCGUGGGGAGCAAACAGG